UCGUGUCGUGAGAUGUUCGGUUAAGUCCGGCAACGAGCGCAACCCACAUCCUUAGUUGCCAGCAGUUCGGCUGGGCACUCUAAGGAAACUGCCCGUGAUAAGCGGGAGGAAGGUGUGGAUGACGUCAAGUCCUCAUGGCCCUUACGGGUUGGGCUACACACGUGCUACAAUGGUAGUGACAAUGGGUUAAUCCCCAAAAACUAUCUCAGUUCGGAUUGUUCUCUGCAACUCGAGAGCAUGAAGUCGGAAUCGCUAGUAAUCGCGUAACAGCAUGACGCGGUGAAUACGUUCCCGGGCCUU
rnacentral:rRNA from 1 species